rnacentral:misc_RNA from 1 species
GAGAACAUGGAAUCAAUUUUAUUGGACCUAAUCCUGACAGCAUCCGAGUUAUGGGUGACAAAUCAACUGCCAGAGAUACUAUGAAAAAAGCAGGUGUACCAACUGUUCCAGGAAGUGAUGGUCUUUUACAGAGCACCGAAGAAGCAAUCAAACUUGCACAGGAAAUUGGCUAUCCUGUUAUGAUCAAGGCAACAGCAGGUGG